rnacentral:tRNA from 4 species
AUGAUUAAUGACGACUCAAAUUUUUAUUUGAAAAUGAGAGAGUUGUUAGGAAGCCAUUCCGAGUUGAAGAAAGAAAAGAAUCGACUUUUCAUUGAUAAAAUAAGUGUCACUCCACAGUCUGAGAGAUCUUUUGACGAACUGAGAUUAAUCGGACGAGAAUAA